rnacentral:rRNA from 1 species
AGGGUUUGAUUAUGGCUCAGGAUGAACGCUGGCGGCGUGCUUAACACAUGCAAGUCGAACGAACCUUCGGGUUAGUGGCGGACGGGUGAGUAACGCGUGAGAAUCUGCCCUCAGGAGGGGGAUAACGGUUGGAAACGACCGCUAAUACCCCAUAUGCCUACUGGUGAAAUGAAUUUCGCCUGAGGAUGAGCUCGCGUCUGAUUAGCUAGUUGGUGGGGUAAUGGCUUACCAAGGCUUCGAUCAGUAGCUGGUCUGAGAGGAUGAUCAGCCACACUGGGACUGAGACACGGCCCAGACUCCUACGGGAGGCAGCAGUGGGGAAUUUUCCGCAAUGGGCGAAAGCCUGACGGAGCAACGCCGCGUGAGGGACGAAGGCCUCUGGGCUGUAAACCUCUUUUCUCAAGGAAGAAGAUAUGACGGUACUUGAGGAAUAAGCCACGGCUAAUUCCGUGCCAGCAGCCGCGGUAAUU